rnacentral:rRNA from 1 species
GAUGAACGCUAGCGGCAGGCUUAACACAUGCAAGUCGAGGGGCAGCAUAAUGGAUAGCAAUAUCUAUGGUGGCGACCGGCGCACGGGUGCGUAACGCGUAUGCAACCUACCUUUAACAGGGGGAUAACACUGAGAAAUUGGUACUAAUACCCCAUAAUAUCAUAGAAGGCAUCUUUUAUGGUUGAAAAUUCCGAUGGUUAGAGAUGGGCAUGCGUUGUAUUAGCUAGUUGGUGGGGUAACGGCUCACCAAGGCGACGAUACAUAGGGGGACUGAGAGGUUAACCCCCCACACUGGUACUGAGACACGGACCAGACUCCUACGGGAGGCAGCAGUGAGGAAUAUUGGUCAAUGGACGCAAGUCUGAACCAGCCAUGCCGCGUGCAGGAUGACGGCUCUAUGAGUUGUAAACUGCUUUUGUACGAGGGUAAACGCAGAUACGUGUAUCUGUCUGAAAGUAUC